rnacentral:snoRNA from 1 species
GCUGGCACAAUGAUGAUUUCCCUUUGCCGUUUACCCAUCUGAAUGUAUGAUGUGAAUUUCUGAAUUCUGAGAUGCCAGU